rnacentral:rRNA from 1 species
UGAGUAACACGUGGGCAACCUGCCCUGUAGAUUGGGAUAACUCCGGGAAACCGGGGCUAAUACCGAAUAAUCCUUCGGACCUCAUGGUCCGAUGUUGAAAGGCGGCUUCGGCUGUCACUACAGGAUGGGCCCGCGGCGCAUUAGCUAGUUGGUGAGGUAACGGCUCACCAAGGCCACGAUGCGUAGCCGACCUGAGAGGGUGAUCGGCCACACUGGGACUGAGACACGGCCCAGACUCCUACGGGAGGCAGCAGUAGGGAAUCUUCCACAAUGGACGAAAGUCUGAUGGAGCAACGCCGCGUGAGUGAAGAAGGUUCUCGGAUCGUAAAACUCUGUUGUGAGGGAAGAACAAGUACCGGAGUAACUGCCGGUACCUUGACGGUACCUCAUUAGAAAGCCACGGCUAACUACGUGCCAGCAGCCGCGGUAAUACGUAGGUGGCAAGCGUUGUCCGGAAUCAUUGGGCGUAAAGCGCGCGCAGGCGGUCCCUUAAGUCUGAUGUGAAAGCCCACGGCUCAACCGUGGAGGGUCAUUGGAAACUGGGGGACUUGAGUGCAGAAGAGGAAAGCGGAAUUCCAAGUGUAGCGGUGAAAUGCGUAGAGAUUUGGAGGAACACCAGUG